rnacentral:rRNA from 1 species
GACGUAGGGCGCGAGCGUUGUCCGGAAUUAUUGGGCGUAAAGAGCUCGUAGGCGGUCUGUUGCGUCGGCUGUGAAAACCCGGGGCUCAACUCCGGGCCUGCAGCCGAUACGGGCAGACUAGAGUUCGGCAGGGGAGACUGGAAUUCCUGGUGUAGCGGUGAAAUGCGUAGAUAUCAGGAGGAACACCGGUGGCGAAGGCGGCUAUCUGGACAGAGUCUGACGCUGAGGCGCGAAAGCUAGGGGGAGCAAACAGG